UACGUAGGGUGCGAGCGUUAAUCGGAAUUACUGGGCGUAAAGCGUGCGCAGGCGGUUUUGUAAGCCAGAUGUGAAAUCCCCGGGCUCAACCUGGGAAUGGCAUUUGGGACUGCAAGGCUGGAGUUUGGCAGAGGAGACUGGAAUUCCCGGUGUAGCAGUGAAAUGCGUAGAUAUCGGGAGGAAUACCGAUGGCGAAGGCAGGUCUCUGGGCUAUAACCGACGCUCAUGCACGAAAGCGUGGGGAGCAAACAGG
rnacentral:rRNA from 1 species